GACGAACGCUGGCGGCGUGCUUAACACAUGCAAGUCGAACGGAAAGGCCCUGCUUGCAGGGUCCUCGAGUGGCGAACGGGUGAGUAACACGUGGGUGAUCUGCCCUGCACUUCGGGAUAAGCUUGGGAAACUGGGUCUAAUACCGGAUAGGAGCCAUCUUUAGUGUGGUGGUUGGAAAGUUUUUUCGGUGUAGGAUGAGCUCGCGGCCUAUCAGCUUGUUGGUGGGGUAAUGGCCUACCAAGGCGGCGACGGGUAGCCGGCCUGAGAGGGUGUACGGCCACAUUGGGACUGAGAUACGGCCCAGACUCCUACGGGAGGCAGCGGUGGGGAAUAUUGCACAAUGGGCGCAAGCCUGAUGCAGCGACGCCGCGUGGGGGAUGAAGGCCUUCGGGUUGUAAACUCCUUUCGCUAGGGACGAAGCUUUUUGUGACGGUACCUAGAUAAGAAGCACCGGCUAACUACGUG
rnacentral:rRNA from 1 species